rnacentral:rRNA from 1 species
UACGGAGGGUGCAAACGUUGCUCGGAAUCAUUGGGCGUAAAGCGCACGUAGGCGGCCUGUUAAGUCGGGUGUGAAAGCCCUGGGCUCAACCCAGGAAGUGCACUCGAAACUGGCGGGCUUGAAUAUGGAAGAGGGUCGCGGAAUUCCCGGUGUAGAGGUGAAAUUCGUAGAUAUUCGCAAGAACACCAGUGGCGAAGGCGGCUCACUGGCCCGGUACUGACGCUGAGGCACGAAAGCGUGGGGAGCAAACAGG